rnacentral:pre_miRNA from 1 species
AUGUUGUAUGUGAGAAUUGGAGAAAACCAUACAAAAAUUUAUGCCCAAACGUACGGCUCUUUGAAAAUUGUAUGGUUUUCUCCAAUAUCUCAUCUCCAACCU